UCCAGUCCAAUUAUACAGCCCCAAAAUAGAAAAAUGCGGAAAUAUAAACCUACUUUAUUCUAGGCUAAUUCUAAACUAUCCUCCAUUGCUUUCUCUACCCGAUGUUCCGGGCCUUGAUCGUGUGCCGUCUUCAAGUACAUGAUACUUCAGGGCAUCCCCCGGUGAAUAAAUACAAUUCCUUCGGGGCAUUCCCCAGCAAAUAAAUACAAUGUCAAUCUCAUGCGAUAAACUAGAAAACUUCCAACACGUUCAACAUUCCACGCAUUCAACCAAAACAUCAUUCCUAAGUUUGUCUACCCGAACCUAAACUUUGCCUAUCCCAUUUCAACAUAUCAUAAAUCUAUCACAUUCAUGCUUAUUCCGAACUUAAGCAAAACAACGAUAAACCAACAUUAAUCUAACUUCAACCUUUUUAUCAUUCUCGCAAUUCCACUCCUCCCCACAAAUUUCCUCUCAAUCUAUGGUUAAUUAAUUCUUUGAUUAACAAUUCAUUUUUUCUCUUCAACAUACAAAACCUAUAUCAAUCAAUACACAACAAAGAUACAAACAUACCAAACACACAAAUCAUUCACGAUUACGUAAAAUUAAAGAAAGAGAAGAUAGAAUUGGACCUCAAAAGCUUUCGAUUGACUUAAGAAGAGAAAAUAAGAGCCGUCUUGAAACCUCGAAGAAUACCACUAAUAUCGACUCUCCAAAUCAGUUAUGAACUCAUCACCGCGAUAAACCCAAAAUUUGAUUCAAAGUGAAAUCCAAGAAGAACCAGAGACAAGUACACAGUCAUCCAAAAAAUCAAAACCCGUACACGAAAUCUCACCUAAUUCGACCCAAAUCUCAUCGGAAUCAAACCAAAAGGAUCGAUAUAACACUGAUAUAUCCCCUUUAAAAUGAAUGAGAAUAAUCUUUGGAAUUUUUACCCGUUAAACAGUAUGUUUUGCUGAAACAGAGCAAUAGGCUCCCGGCUCAACCAUUUUUCCGACCAAACUCGUCAGAAAACCGAUUGGCGGACGUGAAUCAACGGUGGAUAUUGGUGGUUUUGGUGGAUUCAGGGUUCAGACACCAACCAAUAGCCCUUUUUCAGUGGUUUCGAAUGGAUUUUGUGAUGUUUUGAUGCGUUUUCGGCGAAGACGUCACCGGAACAGUAACACAAACUUAUUUUUCUCCCUCAACCCCAUCUACCCCUUUUCUCUCUUGGUUACCCACUCUCUCUCUUCGUUAAUCUCUCUUUAUUGCUCCGAAGAAGAAAAGAAAACCCCUCCCUCUUUACUAUGAAGUGUGUGGAGAGUCUCUGUUGUAAUGUGUGAGAGGUCUCAAUUGUGAAUGAUGCUGAUGGGGUCCCUCUUUUAUGUAGAAGACGAUGGUGUAUAAAUAUGCUUUUCCUUUUUUUUGUGGACAAAAAAGUGGGGGGAGGGGUCACGUGGGGUAGGAUAUGGAUGAGGUGUAAAAGUUGGUUAAGAUAAGGAAUAUUAUGGAUUAGGCAUUCAAUUUGUUAGAAUUUGGUUAUUAUUUGUUUCCUUAUGGGGAGAUUAUCAUGCGGGGUAGGAUACAAUGUAAGACGAGGGUAAAAAUGGGUAAAUUAAAUUCGAGAUGGGACAAAAUUACGUGUCUACAUC
rnacentral:lncRNA from 1 species